rnacentral:rRNA from 1 species
GGUUAAAAAGCUCGUAGUUGGAUCUCGGCAAGUAGAGGGCGGUAUGCUUCGUAGCAUUACUGCCCUAUUACUUGUAGUUUUGCCAGAGGUUCCUGGGUGCUCUUAAUCGAGUGUCUAGGGAUGCUGGCAGGUUUACUUUGAAAAAAUUAGAGUGCUCAAAGCAGGCUAUUACGCUUGAAUAUUCGUGCAUGGAAUAAUAGAAUAGGAAGUUGUUUCUAUUUUGUUGGUUUUCGGAAAUCGACUUAAUGAUUAAUAGGGACAGUCGAGGGCAUCUGUAUUCAAACGACAGAGGUGAAAUUCUUGGACCGUUUGAAGACAAACUACUGCGAAAGCAUUUGCCAAGAAUGUUUUCAUUAAUCAAGAACGAAAGUUAGAGGUUCGAAGGCGAUUAGAUACCGCCCUAGUUCUAACCAUAAACGAUGCCAGCUAGCGAUCUGAGGACGUUUUUUUUGUAGACUCCUCAGGAAGCUUCCGGGAAACCAAAGCGUGUGGGUUCCGGGGGAAGUAUGGUUGCAAAGCUGAAACUUAAAGGAAUUGACGGCAGGGCACCACCAGGAGUGGAGCCUGCGGCUUAAUUUGACUCAACACGGGAAAUCUCACCAGGCCCGGACACUGGAAGGAUUGACAGAUUGAGAGCUCUUUCUCGAUUCGGUGGGUGGUGGUGCAUGCC